CCUACGGGAGGCAGCAGUGGGGAAUAUUGCACAAUGGGGGAAACCCUGAUGCAGCGACGCCGCGUGAGUGAAGAAGUAAUUCGUUAUGUAAAGCUCUAUCAGCAGGGAAGAAAAUGACGGUACCUGAGUAAGAAGCCCCGGCUAACUACGUGCCAGCAGCCGCGGUAAUCCGGAGGGGGCACGCGUUAUCCGGAUUUACGGGGGGUAAGGGGAGCGUAGACGGCAGUGCAAGUCUGGAGGGAAAGGCGGGGGCUCAACCCCCGGACUGCUCUGGAAACUGUACGGCUGGAGUGCAGGAGAGGUAAGUGGAAUUCCUAGUGUAGCGGUGAAAUGCGUAGAUAUUAGGAGGAACACCAGUGGCGAAGGCGGCUUACUGGACUGUAACUGACGUUGAGGCUCGAAAGCGUGGGGAGCAAACAGGAUUAGAUACCCUUGUAGUC
rnacentral:rRNA from 1 species